GAUGAACGCUGGCGGCGUGCCUAACACAUGCAAGUCGAGCGAGACGCUUAGAAUUGACACUUCGGUUGAUUUUCUAAGAAGAAAGCGGCGGACGGGUGAGUAACGCGUAGGCAACCUGCCCCAUACACAGGGAUAGCCUCGGGAAACCGGGAUUAAGACCUGAUAAUACAACCGAUAUACAUGUAUCUGGUUGUCAAAGAUUUAUCGGUAUGGGAUGGGCCUGCGUCUGAUUAGUUAGUUGGUAAGGUAACGGCUUACCAAGGCAGUGAUCAGUAGCCGACCUGAGAGGGUGAACGGCCACAUUGGAACUGAGACACGGUCCAAACUCCUACGGGAGGCAGCAGUGGGGAAUAUUGCACAAUGGGCGAAAGCCUGAUGCAGCAACGCCGCGUGAGCGAUGAAGGCCUUUGGGUCGUAAAGCUCUGUCCUUGGGGAAGAAAAAAAUGACGGUACCCUUGGAGGAAGCCCCGGCUAACUACGUG
rnacentral:rRNA from 1 species